rnacentral:rRNA from 1 species
UCCCAAGGGUUGGGCUGUUCGCCCAUUAAAGCGGUACGCGAGCUGGGUUCAGAACGUCGUGAGACAGUUCGGUCCCUAUCCGGCGUGGGCGUAGGAUAUCUGAGAGGAGCUGUCCUUAGUACGAGAGGACCGGGAUGGACUGACCUCUGGUGUACCGGUUGGCGAUCAACGCCACGGCCGGGUAGCCAUGUCGGGACGGGAUAAACGCUGAAGGCAUCUAAGCGUGAAGCCCCCCUCAAGAUGAGAUAUCCCAUCGUAAGAGUAAGACCCCUUGAAGACGACGAGGUUGAUAGGGCAGGGGUGGAAGUGCCGUAAGGCAUGGAGCUGACUGCUACUAAUCGGUCGAGGGCUUGACCAG